rnacentral:lncRNA from 1 species
GUGCAUACCCGGGGGUGCUGUCAACUGCCGACGAUGGUUGUGCAUUCCCUGGGGUGCUGUCAAUUGGCGACGAUGGUUGUGCAUUUCCGGGGGUGCUGUCAAUUGGCGACGAUAGUUGUGCAUUCCCUGGGGUGCUGUCAACUGGCGAAGACGGUUGUGGAUUCCCGGGGGUGCGGUCAACUGGCGAUGAUGGUUGUGCAUUCCCGGGGGUGCUCUCAACUGGCGACGAUGGUUGUGCAUUCCCUGGGGUGCUGUCAACUGACGACGAUGGUUGUGCAUUCCCGGGGGUGCUGUCAACUGGCGACGAUGGUUGUACAUUCGCAGGGGUGCUGCCAAUUGGCGACGAUAGGUUUGCGUUCGCGGGGGUGCUCUCAACUGGCGACGAUAGUUGUGCAAUUCCAGGGGUGCUAUCAAUUGGCGACGAUGGUUGUGCAUUCCCAGGUGUGCUAUCAAUUGGCGAUGAUGGAUGUGCAUUCGCGGGGGUGCUGCCAAUUGGCGACGAAGGUUGUGCAUUCGCGGGGGUGCUGCCAAUUGGUGACGAAGGUUGUGCAUUGGCGGGGGUGCUCUCAACAGACGUCGAUUUUGCCCAAAGCCCAGUUGUGGACGGAAUGAUAUGGGCGGGAGUGCCAUGGGGAAUGGCAUUGACCGGUGUGACGAAUCUUGUGGCGAGAAUUCGACCUUCGGCCGCACG